UGGGGCCUGAAUUCCCUUCUCCCAGAGUAAAAUAUACUCUUCGAAUGGCAAUGCUAGUGUAGGUUGGCCAUCCGUAGCUGAGCCUUGGCCUCCUCCUGCAGAACCACAUGCAACCUGCCCUUGUCCUCAGCAGAUACAAAACCCUCUGUGCAGGUCUAUUAACUUAAUCAUAUUUAAAUACAUUCUUGGUAAGUAUUUAAAAUGUGUUCAUUUCCAUUCCCUUGAGCUGUACCGUUUUUGUAAUUAUAUUAAUGCUCUUCUCAGUGUUUGGAGAAUGGAAACCAAGUGGUUUGUCACCUUUUUUUUCCAGUCGGAUUUGCUUUCAGAUGGCUGUGCUUUUGGGUUAAAACCACUGAAGAAGGAUGUUUCUUUCCAGUGUUUCUCAGGGAGAUUUAAUUGCAGGAAUGCACUGUUAACUUAUGCUAAUAUUACCUUUGGCAGAAACACUGUUCCCUUUUAAUACAUACAGUCCAAAAGGGCAGAACAAGUUGGAUGAACUGACCAAACUCUAUUUUUCUGUUUCUGUCAGGCUGCUGUGUGUGGAGGAUGAUUUCACUGAUAAGAAGUCCCCAAGUGAUCUGUCACGGUGUCUGGGAAUAUUGCUCAGCAGUUGGCUGGUGUGGCUAAAGGGGAAGUGCAGCGAUUCAGAUAAAUGGGAUUCCUUCCAAAGCAGCAGAUGGACAACCUCUGCCAUCUGCUUUUUACUUCAUGGCUAUAGUCUGAAGAGUUACCAGGAUAUACAAAAAAUGGAUUGACCUAAAAAGUGAGGGGUCUCCUGACUUUUCCAGUGGUGUGAGUUACAGAAAAAAAUCCCUCUGAUGUUCAAGACCAUGAGACACAUGGUGAGUACCUCCAAGGGCUGGGCACAAACAGGAAGGCAGGUCCUGAAAAGCUUACAGACAGGGCAUUAUGUACCUUCUCAGAGGAUGCCAUGGUUGAUGGGGCUAGGGAUAGGCUUGGCUUGCCUUGGGUGGCAUCGGGCCCUCAAGCUCCUUCUGUCUCAUGGCAUUACAGGACUUGGCAACCCGCUGCCUUUGGCCAUGUGCUGGCUCUGCUGCUACAUCUGAACUGCCCAUUUGAAGGAGAAUCUGUAGAACCUGUGGCCACUGGAAGACACCUGAGGCUUUUGGGCCUGGGUGGUCAGGUGAAGGAGAGAAGGCUAAUAGAACAAAAGAUGUAUCUUGGGCACCCAGGUUCUUCAGUACAGCUCUGCACCACAGGAUGUUCUUCAAGUCUGAGCUACAGCCAACAUCUGUGGACAACACUCUUUGUUCCUAUUUUUAGCAGCCUAAAUAGGAGACAGCUCUCCCCUGAAGGGCAUGAGGAAGGAUUCCCUCUUGCUUUACCUCCAGCAACCAACCGCAAAAGCAGAAACAAGGAGACAAUAAAGUUCUCCAAAUCCCCACCGCUUACAGAAGUAUUGUGCUAAUUCAUCAUAAUUACUAAACAUAUCUUCUUUAUAUGGAGAGAGUGUCUUAGGCACAACCAAAGCUAUGAAAACAGGUUUUAAGUCAUUGGAGGCUGCAUAUGUGAACACUAGUUUCAAUAUGGAACCCCAGAACAUGGAUUUAUAUCCACAAAGGAUCUUUGGGAUUUCAUAUAAACUAAGAGCUAUCCAUGUAGAUGUGACUGUAGGACUGAGGUCUCAUUAGUGUCAAGACAGAUUUAUCUACCUACCUACCUACCUCCCUACCUAAGAUACCUUCUCUAAGGUAACAGCAGAUGGUGCUGGUAGAUAGCACCUAGCUGUGUUUCCUUGUUAGUAUGUAGGAGUCCAAUCUGGGAGGAAUCAUAGAAUCAUAGGGCAGCUUGGGUUGGAAGGAACCUUAAAGGUCACCAACUUCUAACCCCCUGCCAUGGGCAGGGAUGCUAUCCACUAGAUCAUGUUGCAUCCACAACCUCUCUGGGCAACCUGUUCCAGUGCCUCACCACCCUUUGAGUGAAGAAUUUCCU
ensembl:lncRNA